rnacentral:snRNA from 1 species
GGAUGUGAGGGCAAUCUUGCUACAACAACUGUCACCCCAUUGAUGGCCAGGGUAGAUUCAGCUCAUCUGGCUGGCUAGGCAGGUAGUCCCUUCCUCCCUCACCACUCCAUGUUCAUCCCUCCCAAAGCUGUUUACUUAGUCAAAGAAGACAACCUUCCCCCAAAAAAGAGGACCAUUCUUUUUUUUUUUUUAGAUUUUAUUUAUUUAUUUGACAGACAGAGAUCACAAGUAAACAGAGAGGCAGGAAGAGAGAGAGGGGGAAACAGACUCCCUGCUGAGCAGAGAGUCUGAUGCGGGGCUCGAUCCCAGGACCCUGAGAUCAUGACCUGAGCCGAAGGCAGAGGCUUUAACCCACUGAGCCACCCAGGUACCCGAAGAGGACCAUUCUUAAGUCAAGAGUAUAUGAGUAGCUGUACUUCCCUGCUAGAACCUCUAAAUAAGCUCUCAAGGUCCAUUUGUAGGAGAAGGUAGAGUAGUCAAGCUUCCAAGAUUCCAGACACAUCCAAAUGAGGCAGUGCAUGUGACAGUCUGCUUUCU